GUGGACAUACGACCUGUUUGUUGGCAGCCUGAAACUUUUCCUUGACGAUAUAUUUUUAUUUUUCCAAUUUACCCAUGUAUGUUCGUACAGUCAAUAAAUUAAACAAAAGAAAUUAUGAUGGAAUGCAACUCCGAGUAAAUGGACCAUUACAGGAUCGGUCAGAGAUAGAUCCCUUAUCUCAUCAAGCCCUUUCAAGCUGGCGAGCCACCUAAGAUGUAUGAUGUAGGCUGCUGCUCCUUCAAGUCCGCAGAUGUUUUCACAUAGUGCCAGCUCUGUGAUAGUGUGCUUGUGCCAUCGAGAAGAUGUGGAUAUUCCGUCUGUUGCCCCUAAGGGAGUCGAAUUCGGUUCGAACGAGUUCCGGACUGUGCGCCGUUGAUGGCAUUCUGUGUUCUGAUUUGACACACACUGCCAUCGUGCCAUUAGAUUUUGUCAAGCAUCAUAUGAAGGCCAGUGCUGCUAAAUACAAGAUUCUGCUCCACGGGUUCAAGGUCGCUGUUGCUCAAGAGAGCAUCCACGGUGAGGCCAAGGAUGGGCUCCAAUGUUCUUCGAAUACUAGGUACAGGAUGCUAUUAAUUUUGAUCUGUGUGAAUUAUUUAAAAUCCAGUACGCCAAUAUGAUGAACAAUGUGUAUUUGGCUGCAUCCGCCUUGACUGGAUUCUUCACCGACAUUGCCCUGUCGCCAUUGAAAGCUGCUUAAAUCAAGAUUCAGACUACUCGGCUAUGCCGACUGCACCAAGCGAGAACAAUAAUUGAUGGUCACAUUUGCCGCACAACCCUUCUAAGAGAUCCAGCACUAUCAAUGUGGCCAUGAACUCGGCCAUGAAGCUCAGUUUCAUAGGCAUGUGGAAUGUUCUGAUGCCGCACAUCAUCAUGAUACAAUGGUGCCAACACUCCCCACCCACCACCAUCAGAGAAACCCAUUACUGAAAAAGAAACUAGGAGUUAAAUAAGUGUAUAUGUAGUGAAUGGUUGAAGCAAAUUGUGAUUUGGAACCUGUCGUCGAAGCUGUGAAGUGUAAUGGGAGUGAGGCGAAACGUGUAUCGUGCAAACCGGAAGUUAAACUUUUGUAAGGUAAUAAAAUAAUACGUAAUAAAAAUAAUACGGAAAAGUGUA